GGAUGUGAGGGUAAACUGGCUGCAACAUCUGUCACCCUACUGAUUGCUAGGGUUGAUUUGGCUGAUCUGGUGAACUAAGUAGGUGUCCCCAUACUCACUCACUGCUCCAUAUGCAUGCCUCCUGAAGCUGUGUGCUUGGUGGAAAAAGACAACCAUCUCAGACAGGAGUGGACCGUCCUUUGGUCAAGCGUACUGUAUAUGAUAUAGUAGUUGCACUCCCCUGCUAGAACCUCCAAACAAGUACAAGGUCCAUUUGUAGGAACAAAUACUGGACAACUGUUUCACAAAGUAGGACUGUAAAUUUCACAGUGCAA
rnacentral:snRNA from 1 species